CAAAAUCAAUAGCCACCUCACCCAACUUACAAAUCCACCCGGACCCACCACCCAAAACACUGGCUAACAUUUUUAGGUUGGGGCGACCUUGGAGAAAAACAAACCCUCCAAAAAUAAGGCCAAACCCCUUAACUAAGAGCAACCCCUCGACGUGUUAACAACACCCAGACCCAGUAAAUCUGAUCAAUGAACCAAGCUACCCCAGGGAUAACAGCGCAAUCUCCCCCAAGAGCCCCUAUCGACGGGGAGGUUUACGACCUCGAUGUUGGAUCAGGACAUCCUAGUGGUGCAGCCGCUACUAAGGGUUCGUUGUCAACGAUAACGC
rnacentral:rRNA from 1 species